AAGGUCUACAACCACUGUCAACUCCAAGUCAACAGACAGAAAGAAAAGUUCCAGGGCCGCCAACACCUGGGUGCAGUCCAGUCACCUGGAUGGUCAGAGAACCAUAAAGCUAAUAAACAAUGAGUUCCUUAAGGCACCAGUCAUGCUUCUGUAACAAGUCAAAUUUUGAAUAUCAAAGUGCAUCUUUUUUUGCCUCCUUGAGUAGAAAUCUUCACAUUAGUCUGCCCUAGCCAAUGACUUGCCCAGAUGGAAAGUCUGAAUUUAUUAUAGAAGAAGAACAAGAGAAAGAGUGACAUUCUGCUUCUGUCUUUCAGAAAGUAAGUUUUUACAAGCCUCUUGAAAAGGGAUUUGCUGAACUCCCUUGUGAGGCAUUAGUAUUUUAACAACCAAGCAUGGAGAUUUCUGAUCAAUAUGAUUUAAAAACAAAAAUAAAAAGAAGGUAACCUGCUUGUCAUUAAGAUUAAGCUAGAAAGAGUCAGGAAGAAGAUAGAAUAGAAAGAAAGAAAGACUAGUCCUUUAUUAGCGUGGAAAACUGUGAAAAGCAGAGAGAGAGGGAAAUGAAAUGGUGAAGGUUGUCCUAAUCUCCCCUCCCACAACUCUUCUGAGUUUGGCCCAGGUAGGGAAAGGGGCACUAGGAAAGCAAAGUUAACUCCAAAGGCAGAGUGGGGGCCACUAUUGAAAAGACUACUCACAAACUUGAAAGAAGAGGCUCUGUGUGUGGCAUGCUCCCAUACAAACCUAGGGACCCAGCCCACCCCUAGGUAGGUCAGACAUGGUCAGACAGAGCGAGGUAGAGAGGACUCAGAAAGAGCAAGCCUCUCUGCUUAUCAGAGGCAGGUAAAGCCAGGACUGGAUGAAAAGCCAAUCAAACUUCAAAGGGAUCUCUAGCACCAGGGGAAACUGAAAUGAGGUCAGGUCAGCCAGAGCACACAACAGGACUUUAACCAGACCCAGUGAGACCAACCACAGGUCACACCCACUCAAGCAAUCACCCCAGGGCAAGCAAUACCAAAUGGUAAAGAGAUAAUUGGCUGGAGGUCAGGCAAGCAGAGAACUGUGGCUGAGGACGCCACCUCCUCCCCACCACCAUGAGGUUGCAUAGACCUCAGCCCUUCCCCAGGACUCUAGGCAAGCAGAAGAGGAAGAACCUGAGAGCCUUAGCAAUUUUUUUUUUUUUUUUUUUUUUUGAAACAGAGUCUCACUUUGUCACCCAGGUUGGAGUACAGUGGUGCAAUCUAGGUUCACUGCAACCUCAACCUCCCGGAUUCAAGCUAUCCUCCUGCCUCAGUCCCCACAAGUACCUGGGACUACAAGCGCACACCACCACUCCCAGCUAAUUUUUGUGUUUUUUGUAGGGAUGGGUUUUUGCCAUGUUGCCCAGGCUGGUCUCCAAUUCCUGAGCUCAAGCCAUCUGC
rnacentral:lncRNA from 1 species